rnacentral:misc_RNA from 1 species
AAGUCGUAACAAGGUUUCCGUAGGUGAACCUGCGGAAGGAUCAUUACAAUACUUUUACAAGUAUCAACCCCAAAUAGUUGAACUGAAUGAGCGUCCGAUAGGUUAGCAAGUGGUUGGAGAGAGCUGGCGGCUUUGGAAGUGCUUCGGUACUUCGGUCAGUUCUCGAUUUCUCUCGCACAUUCGUGCGAAGAGAAAGCCAUUUUUUUCCUAGCUCGCGUAUUUUCGUAUUUUUUUUUUUAUCUUUAACCCCUUUCACCAAAACUACAAUUUAAACAACAAUUGAACUGAAUUCGAAGGAUGCUGAAAAGCGUCUAGUUCGAUUCUAUCUUUUUUUUACGAAAACGUAAGAACAACUCUUAACAACGGAUAUCUUGGCUCUC